AAGAAAUGAAAGUUUGUCGUUUACAAAACAAAAAAUUGAUAAAAUGUAACAAAAAUGUUUAAACUUAUAGUAUUUUUCUUUUCACCAUUAAUGCUUUAACUAUAUAUAUAUUUGUUAAUAGCUGCCAUCAGUAAAGAAGAUGUUUCCUCUGAGAGGUAUUUCAUACUUAAAGCAAGUAAAAUCCAAAAAGUAGAGGAGUAUAGAGCCC
rnacentral:lncRNA from 1 species